rfam:Parcubacteria bacterium GW2011_GWB1_50_9 TY60_C0010, whole genome shotgun sequence.
AAAUUAUCAAGAGCGCGGCGAGACCCCGUUUAGUACGGGGCGCGAGUACCGACUCGAUGACCCGCCGGCAACCGCCAAAAGAUAUUUUGGAAAGGUGCCACCUUCGGCCCGCAAGGGAAAGAUAAUGG